AAAACUUAUUGAAUUGACUGCAUAUCGAAAAAAACUAAAGAAUUCUAUAACGAUGUAUGUACUCAAUUCACCACUUCAAUUUCUUAAAUAAGCCUCUUUUCCAGAAACAUCCUCAAUUAUGAACACAAAACACAGCGCCGAUAUGGUGAUGCUUCUUCUCUUUCAUCAAUGGAUACCACGCUCUUGAAAUUUUUCUUUCCUAUAAAAAAAACGCAGCGUUAGAUUCGUUACAUCUUCCACAAGAGUGCUACUGACCUGCCCUCUUCAAGCGAAACGUUUCGCUACAAAAUUGCGCCAAGACGUGCCAUUGAUUUAACAACGCAAAGCGUCUGCUCCCGAAUACCGAGCCAUUUAUUUCCAUAUUAUAUACGCCAGGGAUUUGGCCUUGGCAAAAUACAUAUCAAAUGCGAACCAAAAACAGUGUUUUUGCACCAAAUUGUCAUAAAUUUGCUCAUAAAGUACACUCUAAUAAGCAUUUUACAUGUAUUUGAUUGAAGCAGACUUGGCUGACUGGCUACAUUUUCAUGUUGUGAAUUUAAUGAAAAGAUUUAUCUACGAAAGAGAUGUUUACAGAUGAAAACUCGUUGGCCAAGCAGAACAUCGAUAAACUUGGAAUAAUGGAAUUACAAAGGAGGGACCAAUCUUUUUUAGUUGAGCACCUUUGAACCUUAUACAUUACAAGAUAAUAAAAUGAUGUUUUCUUUUAUAAU